rnacentral:lncRNA from 1 species
AUGAAAGGAAAAAUCCUCCAUUUGUACUUUAUUUCCAAUGACAAAUAUAUGUGCAUACUCAUUGCUAAUUGUAUCACCAGCCAUGAACGGAAUACAUUUGGAUUAUUUACAUUCAUUAAUAUUCCAUCCAAGAUAGCCAAGUCGGGGUCAAAGUCUGAGAUCUCAGGAGACUCCUUGUUGCUGCCAUGGGGACUAACCUUGCUGAUGUCAUUAAGCAUGAUAAAAUUAAGCAUAAACCACAAUUCCUCAGAGCAUGUAAUUCAUAUUAUAAACAUCAAGUCAAACAAAUCAGAAAAUGAGAAAUGUCUUAUAAUUUGUCUUUUGCUGUUUAUUUUUUUCUUUUUCUUGUUUGCUUGUCCCUGGGUUGUUACUUUUAAUUCAAUGUAUACAGAAACUGGGGUGGCAAAACAAGUUGUGCAGGGCAGAGGGAGGUAUGGUGUUGGCAGGGUCGCAUGUCCUCAUAGAGCAGUGGUCUCAACCCGGGGUCUCCAGAUGUUUUUGGCCUACAACACCUAGAAAUCCCAGCCAGUUUACUAGCUGUUAGAAUUUUUGGGAGUUGCAGGCCAAAAACAUCUGGGGACCCCAGGUUGAGGACCACUGUCAUAGAGGAAAGAAAAAAAAGGUAUUCAAUACCUAUCCCACCUUCCAGUCACCCUGCCAGGCUGGGGAACUUCGAGAGUGAGCCAGGCAACCCAACAAAUCUCAGUUUGCUUUUAAAUAAUGCCAGGUCAGUCAAGUAUAAUAUCAUCUAUGAUCUCCUCAAGGAUGAAGGGACUGACCUGGUGUGCUUCACUGAAACUUGGCUCAGGGAUUAUAGUGUUCCAAUCUGGGUUCAGGCCCUCCCAGCCAGGUACUGUGUCAGUGAGUAGGAGAGGAAAAGUGGGUGGAGUGGGAUAGCUGUGGUCUAUAAAGACCAUCUUCACCUGACCAGAUUAUCUACUAGGAAGCUGAAUCGCAUUGAGUGUGUGCACCUGAGUCUAAAAUCCAGGAAAAGACUGGGGAUUUUGUUAGUGUAUCAUCCACCCUGCCACCUAACAGACUCCCUGGCUGAGCUUGUCAUGAAAUAUGAUUUGAAUGGAAUUGUAUGAAAGAGGAAUGAAUAAAAGCUAAUAAUUUUCAAGACUAUAUGAAACUGCCAGAACCCCAAGAGCUACAGAGGAAGGCUUUUUCUUAGUCCUACCACCAUCACAGGUUAACUUGUCAAGGAUAAAGUAGAGAGCCCUUUCAAUGGUUUUUCCCAUCUUCUGGAUCUCCCUUUCACAAGAGGCUGGGCUUGGCCUUUCGAUGCUUUUCUUGCUAGCAGGCAAAUACAUUUAUUUUCAAGAAGGCCUUUAACAUGAUAUUAUUCUCAAGGAGAAAAUUGAGGCGAAUGUUUAAUUUUUGUAACUUUUUAAAGCAAUUUUAUACUACUUUUAAAUGUAUUGUUUUUAACUACAGUAUGUAACUGAUUCUAAGAUGCACACUUUCCCCAAAAUUUGAGGAUCAAAAAAGGGGUGCAUCUUAGAAAUGAGGACUUCUUCUUCCUCUCCCCUUCACUUCUGCCACUUGCAGUCUUGAUGGAGGAACUGGACUUCUCUCUCUAAAACACCCUGUCUCUCUCUGUACUGCUUGGUGCCAUCAGGAAUGGAGGUAGUUGCACACACAGAGAGAGAGGAGGAAGUCCAGGCUCUCCAUCAGAAGUGGAGGUGGCAGUGACAAGAUGACAAGAAGGCCUUUGUGCCAGGAGCAAUAGAGGCUCACUACCAUCUCAUGCUCCUCACAAACAGGGGUUCUUUCUACCAUGUGCUCACCACUACUGCCUCUAGGCAAAAGAUAAAGGUUUCCCCCCGAUGUUAAGUCCAGUCGUGACCGACUCUGGGUGUUGGUGCUCAUCUCCAUUUCUAAGCCGAAGGUCAUGUGGCUGGCAUGAGUGCAUGGAGUGCCGUUACCUUCCCGCCAGAGCGGUACCUAUUGAUCUACUCACAUUUGCAUGUUUUCAAACUGCUAGGUUGGCAGGAGCUGGGGCUAACAGUGGGCACUCAUUCCGCUCCUGGGAUUUGAACCUGGGACCUUUCGGUCUGCAAGUUCAGCAGUUCAGUGCUUUAACACACUGUGCCACCACCAGGGGCCCUACUACUGCCUCUAGAGAGAGAGAAAGACAGAGAGGCUCCUGCUGUCGUAAUCAUUGGCACCCACAAUUUUCCAGACACACCUGGCAGCACUGAGGUGAUGGCUGUGGCCACGGCCAGCAGCAGGGAGGCAGCGGUGACAUGAAUGGUGUCGAUUGUGGAAGAAGAAGCACUGGACACAGGGUAGGGGAGGCUUUCCAGGAGCUGGCUAGAGCAGCUGAGUAGCUGGACAGCAAGACAGGCAAGUUGGGGUGAAGAUUAUUCUUUUUACAAAAAUCAAGUCUCAAAUAAAAAAGGCUUAUCCUAAAAUCUGCACUCCCUCCCCCCCCCAAAAAAAAAUUGGACUUCAAAAUUGAACUAUAUUUUACAGUCAAUGGCAUCUUACAGUCAAAGGAAUAUGGUAAUUUCACCUGUGAGCUAUCUUGAGUUCCACCUCAGGGGAAAGGUGACAUAAAAAUCUAUUUUGCUGUCUGAAUUUUGGAGAGUUUGAAUAUUGUAACCUAAAGAAAAACAUUUGGUAGCUGGUGAGUCUCCUUUUAGAGAAAGUGGGAUCUAAAUAAGAAUCAGAAUAAAUGUAGGAGUUUGAAAGAAUGAAUGACCACUAGGGUGUAGAGAAAGGAGGAGGAAAGACUGGAUUGGAGGGGGGAGAAAUGGCACUGAGAUGGAGUAUGGGGACGAAAGAGUUUCUAAUUCAAAGAAAGCUGAUAAGUGCCAAAUGAAUAAUAAGGCAAAACCAGAGGUUGGGGAAAACAGAUAGUAAGAAAACAUUGAGGUGAAGGUGGGAUGAAUGGGUUUUUAACCUGGGCAGAGCUGGAUUGUUUCACUAUUGUUAUAAGUUAAAGCCAAAGCAUACAAAUGAUCCUUAACAAGCAUUGUUCACUAUUCAGCAUUGUAAUUGUUAACAUUUUUUUUCUUCUAGAAUUAAGCAAGAUAGAAUUCGGGUUGUGGGAAAGAGCACUUUUACAGUAGAGGAAAUGAGAGGUCUCAGAAAUUUUAAUGUUAUUCUGUAUGCAUCUCCCCCACCUCCUCACUUCUGUACACCAUUUUACAUUACAAUGACACUGUUUAGCCAGAGGUUAUAAAGCUGUUUUGUAUAUCUAAAAUGUGCUUUCAAAAUCUUGUGCAUAGUUCUGUUCUGAUUAUGAAAUAAGACUGGAUAUAUUUUUAGCAAGUAAUUCAGCACUUAUACUGUUCAGAGUUCACUCUGCAAAUACAGUAGAGUCUCACUUAUCCAAGCCUCGCUUAUCCAAGUUUCUGGAUUAUCCAAGCCAUUUUUGUAAUCAAUGUUUUCAAUAUAUUGUGAUAUUUUGGUGCUAAAUUCGUAAAUACAGUAAUUACAACAUAACAUUACUGCGUAUUGAACUGCUUUUUCUGUCAAAUUUGUUGGCCGGGCUGUGGCGCAGCUGUUGAGCAGCUGCCUUAAAUCACUCUGACCAUAAGGUCAUGAGUUCGAGGCCAGCCCGUGGCGGGGUGAGCACCCGUCAAUUAAAAAAAAAAAAAAAAUAGCCCCUGCUCGUUGCUGACCUAGCAACCCGAAAGAUAGUUGAAUCUAUCAAGUAGGAGAUAAGGUACCACUAAUAAAAGUGGGGAGGCAAGAUUAACUAAUUUACGACCUGGAAUGAGGAAGUGCCGUCAGUGUGGAUGAUGAAGCAGCUGCUCCCCCCUGUGGCCAGAAUCGAACAUCCCCUCAGAAGAAAGUUAACUUGCCUCUGCGUGUGUGUCUCUCAGUCUCUGUUUGAUGUGUUUAUGGGCAUUGAAUGUUUGCCCUAUGUGUGUUAUAAUGUGAUCCGCCCUGAGUCCCCUUCGGGGUGAGAAGGGCGGAAUAUAAAUACUGUAAAUAAAUAAAUAAAUAAAUAAAACAUGAUGUUUUGAUGCUUAAUUUGUAAAAACAUAACCUAAUUUGAUGUUUAAUAGGCUUUUCCUUAAUCCCUCCUUAUUAUCCAAGAUACUCACUUAUCCAAGCUUCUGCCAGCCCGUUCCGUUUAGCUUGGCUAAGUGAGACUCUACUGUAACAAGAUUAUGUUUGAAAAUGAAUUUGAGAAUGCUAAACAUUAGAAACUGGGAAAAUACUUCAUUAUGAGUUACACUAAUUAAUAGAUUCAUUCCAUUAUCUAAGUUAAUGAACUAAUAAUGGAAGACAUUAUUUUCCAAGUCAAACUAUGGGAUUUACAGAUACAGUAGAGUCUCACUUAUCCAAGCUAAACGGGCUGGCAGAAGCUUGGAUAAGCAAAUAUCUUGGAUAAUAAGGAGAGAUUAAGGAAAAGCCUAUUAAACAUCAAAUUAGGUUAUGAUUUUACAAAUUAAGCACCAAAACUUCAUGUUAUACAACAAAUUUGACAGAAAAAGUAGUUCAAUACGCAGUAAUGUUAUGUUGUAAUUACUGUAUUUACGAAUUUAGCACCAAAAUAUCACGAUAUAUUGAAAAUAUUGACUACAAAAAUGGCUUGGAUUAUCCAGAGGCUUGGAUAAGCGAGGCUUGGAUAAGUGAGACUCUACUGUAACAGCAUGGCAGUUGUCCUCAUUGAUGCUAGGGGCACACAUUGUCAGGCAUGGGCAAACUUAGGUAAUACUGUCACAAGCACUCUACUUAUCAGUUUAAAGUUUCCUUCCCUUAAUUUUGGAAUGUUCCUUCUCAAGUCAUGGGGCCAGGCAAAUCCAUUCUCACUUAAAAUCAAAAGGAAUAGGGGAUCAAUGUUGUGGCUUUGUAUGCAGUUAGUAAUUGUCUUAUUCUCAGGGCCAGCCCUAGGCAAUUUUCUAGUGUAAGGAAGCAGUAUUUUUGGCACCCCCCCC